GUGUCAGCCGCCGCGGUAAUACGUAGGUGGCAAGCGUUGUCCGGAUUUAUUGGGCGUAAAGAGCGCGCAGGCGGUCCGUUUAGUCCGAGGUGAAAUCUCCCGGCUCAACUGGGAGGGGUCUUCGGAUACUGGCGGACUUGAGGAGUGCAGAGGUGAGUGGAAUUCUCGGUGUAGUGGUGAAAUGCGUAGAUAUCGAGAGGAACACCAGUGGCGAAGGCGGCUCACUGGGCACCACCUGACGCUGAGGCGCGAAAGCGUGGGGAGCGAACCGGAUUAGAAACCCUCGUAGUCC
rnacentral:rRNA from 1 species